rnacentral:rRNA from 1 species
GGAAUCUUCCACAAUGGGCGCAAGCCUGAUGGAGCAACACCGCGUGAGUGAAGGAGGGUUUCGGCUCGUAAAGCUCUGUUGUUAAAGAAGAACACGUAUGAGAGUAACUGUUCAUACGUUGACGGUAUUUAACCAGAAAGUCACGGCUAAAUACGUGCCAG